rnacentral:lncRNA from 1 species
AAAAAUGCAACAAAUUCAUAAUGAUACCCAUAAAUCAUUCUUUUUUUUUCUUCUAGAAAAUCAUCCCAAAAUCCAUAAUUUUACAAACACACAACAACUUCAUCCCAAUAACUCAGAAAAAAAUUCUCAUCUUUUUCCAAAAAUUCAUCCUCGCCUUUAUUGCUAAGUACUUUUUCAUUCAAAACUCCAAAACAUCAAGAACACACAACAACUUCAUCAAAAAAACCGAGAAAAUCAAAUCAAAAACAUAAAAAAUAAAAAUCAAAGAGGAUAUUUAACCCAGAAAAUAAAAGAGAUAACAAAAAUUUACAGUAUAUAAACAUUCCUGCAUAAAAGAAAAGAUUUUACAAAAAUGAGUAUAAACAAAAUCAAAAAAAUUAAAAAUUCAAAUACAAAAUCAAAUGAGCUUGAUGAUAUACCUUAGAUUUGUUAUUGCCUUCGCAUCCAAAAUGUCAUCCAUUAUAUUUUUUAGAUCCGAAGAAGAAAAUAGAAGAAAUACAAAGAUAUGAGCUUCAAUCUAUGAAAUAUCAAACUAAUUUAAAAUUUUGAAAGUGAAAGAGAUAAAAAUUCGCAAGAAAGCCUAUACACAAAAAGUUUAACUAACACCAAAGAAGAUAAAGUUGGAACACUUAAACCAUACCUUUUGUUUAAGAAAUAUUAAACCUCAAGAACAAAAGUCCACACCUUAAACAUUUAGAUCUCUUCAACCUGACAAAAUAAAAGGGGGGAAUAUAUGUCAAAAAGAGAUAUGAAUAAGGGUUGAAGAGAUAUGGAUUUUCAUUAGCCUAUGAAUCUGUUAAUAUUUUAAAAUUUAAGAGAUACGGUAUGGAUUAGGGUUGAAGAAGACUAAUUUGAGGAUUAAAAAAAUUGGGAGAAAAGUGAAGAGAGAGAGAGAGAGAGUUGUAAAUUUAGGAAAGAGAAUGAGAGAGUUUAAUAGACCAAAGAAGCAAUUUUUACUUUGGAAAUAUAUCAGUAGUAGGGAGUUGCAGAAAAUGAAACGGUGCAUGUGGUGGAUUAAAGAAGCUGACGUGGAGGGUUGUUGAAGUUGAAGGGCAGAUGAGUAAUUUACAAAACAUAUUAUCUUCUUAUAUGAUACAUUAGCAAGUUAAUAAAUAAAUU